UACGAAGGGGGGCUAGCGUUGCUCGGAAUCACUGGGCGUAAAGCGCACGUAGGCGGAUCUUUUAAGUCAGGGGGUGAAAUCCUGGAGCUCAACUCCAGAACUGCCUUUUGAUACUGGGGGAUCUCGAGUCCGGAAGAGGUGAGUGGAACUCCGAGUGUAGAGGUGAAAUUCGUAGAUAUUCGGAAGAACACCAGUGGCGAAGGCGGCUCACUGGUCCGGUACUGACGCUGAGGUGCGAAAGCGUGGGGAGCAAACAGG
rnacentral:rRNA from 1 species